GGAAUAUUGGUCAAUGGGCGCAAGCCUGAACCAGCCAAGUAGCGUGCUGGAUGACUGCCCUAUGGGUUGUAAACUGCUUUUAUACGGGGAUAAAGUCAGGGUCGUGACCUUGUUUGCAGGUACCGUAUGAAUAAGGACCGGCUAAUUCCGUGCCAGCAGCCGCGGUAAUACGGAAGGUCCAGGCGUUAUCCGGAUUUAUUGGGUUUAAAGGGAGCGCAGGCUGAUUGUUAAGCGUGACGUGAAAUGUAGCCGCUCAACGGCUGCACUGCGUCGCGAACUGGCAGUCUUGAGUGAGUACGACGUCAGCGGAAUUCGUGGUGUAGCGGUGAAAUGCUUAGAUAUCACGAAGAACCCCGAUUGCGAAGGCAGCUGACGAGUCCUUUACUGACGCUAAAGCUCGAAGGUGCGGGUAUCGAACA
rnacentral:rRNA from 1 species